rnacentral:rRNA from 1 species
GACGAACGCUGGCGGCGUGCUUAACACAUGCAAGUCGAACGGAAAGGCCCUGCUUUUGUGGUGUGCUCGAGUGGCGAACGGGUGAGUAACACGUGAGUAACCUGCCCUUGACUUUGGGAUAACUUCAGGAAACUGGGGCUAAUACCGGAUAGGAGCUCCUGCUGCAUGGUGGGGGUUGGAAAGUUUCGGCGGUUGGGGAUGGACUCGCGGCUUAUCAGCUUGUUGGUGGGGUAGUGGCUUACCAAGGCUUUGACGGGUAGCCGGCCUGAGAGGGUGACCGGCCACAUUGGGACUGAGAUACGGCCCAGACUCCUACGGGAGGCAGCAGUGGGGAAUAUUGCACAAUGGGCGGAAGCCUGAUGCAGCAACGCCGCGUGCGGGAUGACGGCCUUCGGGCUGUAAACCGCUUUCGCCUGUGACGAAGCGUGAGUGACGGUAAUGGGUAAAGAAGCACCGGCUAACUACGUG